UGAUUAUGAAUGAUCAGAGGAACGACGUGGGAAAUCUGGACUGGUGAAAAGGGAAACAGGUGAGAAUCCUGUACGAACUCGUCACCGUAUUUCGUGAGCUUGUGUUUUGAGGCCACUGGGAGACCGGGAAGGUGAAGCAGAAGCAUUUGAACGAUCAGCCGGGAGACCUGCCUUUCGCAGUACAGGAAUG
rnacentral:ncRNA from 22 species